UACGGAGGGGGCUAGCGUUGUUCGGAAUUACUGGGCGUAAAGCGCGCGUAGGCGGCUUUGUAAGUCAGAGGUGAAAUCCCGGGGCUCAACUCCGGAACUGCCUUUGAAACUGCAUCGCUUGAAUCCGGGAGAGGUGAGUGGAAUUCCGAGUGUAGAGGUGAAAUUCGUAGAUAUUCGGAAGAACACCAGUGGCGAAGGCGACUCACUGGACAUGUAUUGACGCUGAGGUACGAAAGCGUGGGGAGCAAACAGG
rnacentral:rRNA from 1 species